UUGCACACUGUACCUUUAAGUAUUACAAAAUUAUCUUUGGAAUUUGUUAUGAGAAUGAUUUGGCCAAUCCUGCAAACUAAAGCUGGAAAUCUGAAUCUCACUGGUCUUAAGUUACUCUGAAUGUGUAAAUUUGUGCCUGCAUACAAAGACUGUUUGUAUGUCAAACCAGAAAUUUAAAUGAACCAGGAAGGAAACUUGAGCUCGAGUCAGCCCAGGAUCACACUCCACUUUAAAGACCAAGUCUGCAUUAUUCAUUAUGCAGUAUUGGCUGGACGAGCCUCGGGCCACACCUCUGGCAUGUUAGAAGUCUGAUGAGACAUACACUCGAGAGGCGCUCAUCCCAAACAUGCAGGAGAAGCGUGGCUUGGCUUAGGAUCUCGCAGAUCUGAUAAAGACCCAACAAGUGAGCCCUUUCCUUCCUGAGUGGAGAACUGUUUGUGUUACAACGUUCUGCGUCUCUUCUUCUGGGUGUGGGAACCUGCCCCUCCCAGAGUCCAUGGUUUCCUCUCACCAAGGACCCGCCACCAGCUAUCCUAUGUUUCACUCAGCCCUAAAUGUGACUGAAGAGAGCUGCAAAUGCUAAAAAUCUGCUCAAGUGAAGUUCUUAUCUGCAUGUACGAUAAACCGUCUCAAAGUCAUAUAGAGGGUUUGUAAUAAUAUAAGCGUAUACAACACAUAUAUAUAUAUAAAUAAAGAAUGUAUCUACAAC